rnacentral:rRNA from 1 species
GGGACACGUGGUAUCCUGUCUGAAUAUGGGGGGACCAUCCUCCAAGGCUAAAUACUCCUGACUGACCGAUAGUGAACCAGUACCGUGAGGGAAAGGCGAAAAGAACCCCGGCGAGGGGAGUGAAAAAGAACCUGAAACCGUGUACGUACAAGCAGUGGGAGCCUCUUAAUGGGGUGACUGCGUACCUUUUGUAUAAUGGGUCAGCGACUUAUAUUCUGUAGCAAGGUUAACCGAAUAGGGGAGCCGAAGGGAAACCGAGUCUUAACUGGGCGUUAAGUUGCAGGGUAUAGACCCGAAACCCGGUGAUCUAGCCAUGGGCAGGUUGAAGGUUGGGUAACACUAACUGGAGGACCGAACCGACUAAUGUUGAAAAAUUAGCGGAUGACUUGUGGCUGGGGGUGAAAGGCCAAUCAAACCGGGAGAUAGCUGGUUCUCCCCGAAAGCUAUUUAGGUAGCGCCUCGUGAAUUCAUCUCCGGGGGUAGAGCACUGUUUCGGCAAGGGGGUCAUCCCGACUUACCAACCCGAUGCAAACUGCGAAUACCGGAGAAUGUUAUCACGGGAGACACACGGCGGGUGCUAACGUCCGUCGUGAAGAGGGAAACAACCCAGACCGCCAGCUAAGGUCCCAAAGUCAUGGUUAAGUGGGAAACGAUGUGGGAAGGCCCAGACAGCCAGGAUGUUGGCUUAGAAGCAGCCAUCAUUUAAAGAAAGCGUAAUAGCUCACUGGUCGAGUCGGCCUGCGCGGAAGAUGUAACGGGGCUAAACCAUGCACCGAAGCUGCGGCAGCGACACUAUGUGUUGUUGGGUAGGGGAGCGUUCUGUAAGCCUGUGAAGGUGUACUGUGAGGUAUGCUGGAGGUAUCAGAAGUGCGAAUGCUGACAUAAGUAACGAUAAAGCGGGUGAAAAGCCCGCUCGCCGGAAGACCAAGGGUUCCUGUCCAACGUUAAUCGGGGCAGGGUGAGUCGACCCCUAAGGCGAGGCCGAAAGGCGUAGUCGAUGGGAAACAGGUUAAUAUUCCUGUACUUGGUGUUACUGCGAAGGGGGGACGGAGAAGGCUAUGUUGGCCGGGCGACGGUUGUCCCGGUUUAAGCGUGUAGGCUGGUUUUCCAGGCAAAUCCGGAAAAUCAAGGCUGAGGCGUGAUGACGAGGCACUACGGUGCUGAAGCGACAAAUGCCCUGCUUCCAGGAAAAGCCUCUAAGCAUCAGGUAACAUCAAAUCGUACCCCAAACCGACACAGGUGGUCAGGUAGAGAAUACCAAGGCGCUUGAGAGAACUCGGGUGAAGGAACUAGGCAAAAUGGUGCCGUAACUUCGGGAGAAGGCACGCUGAUAUGUAGGUGAAGCGACUUGCUCGUGGAGCUGAAAUCAGUCGAAGAUACCAGCUGGCUGCAACUGUUUAUUAAAAACACAGCACUGUGCAAACACGAAAGUGGACGUAUACGGUGUGACGCCUGCCCGGUGCCGGAAGGUUAAUUGAUGGGGUUAGCGGUAACGCGA